GCGGAUGUAGCUCAGGGGUAGAGCACUUGCUUCCCAAGCAAGGUGUCGCGAGUCCGAAUCUCGUCUUCCGCUCCA
rnacentral:tRNA from 2 species